GGAGCAUCCUGUCUGCUGGUCCCCACGUCACAUCAGAAGACUUAUCGGUUUCAUGUUGAGGCCGUCAGGAGAGAUUCUAGUCGCUAGGCCCUUUGUCGCGAAGAUUUCUAGAUAUCGUUUUCUAUAUUCGCUUUUAUUCGUAUACUUGUGAUGUGGGUUUGUAUUGUGGACUUUAUAUCGAACAUUCGGGUUUGCUACUUUGUUUUCCGCUGCGAAUAUUUCAUUA